UACGUAGGGCGCAAGCGUUGUCCGGAAUUAUUGGGCGUAAAGAGCUCGUAGGCGGCUUGUCACGUCGGGUGUGAAAGCUCGGGGCUUAACCCCGGGUCUGCAUUCGAUACGGGCUGGCUGGAGUGUGGUAGGGGAGGUCGGAAUUCCUGGUGUAGCGGUGAAAUGCGCAGAUAUCAGGGGGAACACCGGUGGCGAAGGCGGAUCUCUGGGCCAUUACUGACGCUGAGGAGCGAAAGCGUGGGGAGCGAACAGG
rnacentral:rRNA from 1 species